GUACGGGCUUCCUAUGAGUCCCUGAAGGCAGCGCUGGCCCUAGCAGUGAUUAUUGAGCUCCCGGGAGACUUCAUGGAGAGGGAAUGAGAUGAAAUAGGACUUGAAGCCGGAUCAUGGCGGCGCCUCUCGGGCGGGACACCUUACCUGAACACUGGUCUUACGGUGUCUGCGGGGACGGCAGGGUCUUCUUCAUCAACGAUGAGACACGGACCACUACCUGGCUCCAUCCCCGCUCCGGUCAACCUGUAAACUCUGGACACAUGAUACGCUCAGACCUGCCUUGCGGAUGGGAGGAAGGUUUUACGGACGAAGGGGCCAGUUACUUCAUAAAGUAAGUUCCUUGCAGACAUAUACUGCUGCCGUCUCCGUUACUGCUACCUGUGCGUUACUUGAAGUUGCCGUGCAGCUUAAUAUGGCUCCUGGCUCGAACUCCCUGCUACUAGCAGGAAUAAUGACCGCUGGGACAGUGUGGAUUUAAAUGGGGUGUGCCUGGGGCUAACCUGCUGAACCUCUAAUGACCUCACUGCUUUCAUUUGUGCUGUGCGUGAGAAGCGGCUAUCAGGUGUUUGUCAUGUUCUCGCGUUCUGCCUUUUGGUACAGACCCACACUCACGUGUGUUUGCGAGCUUUUACGAGAGUUAAUUUGUUAUACAGUGAUAAGAGAUGAUCUCUGGUUAACUUCCUCAUAUCCCAGAAGUAGUUUGAAUUUUUUUUUUUUUUGCAUAUUUUAGCUCCUGGAUAACCUACAGAGUUUAUUGUGUACUACAGGGCAGCAGAUAGUUGUUUAGGCUGAUAACCAUGUAAUAAAGAAAUCCUGAUGGACAUGUGACCUCUUUCAAGAUUACCAGUAAGCAGACUUGCAGCUUCUUAAUACUAACCCUCUAUGAUCAGGUUCUACUAACCAUUGUAUAGAACUGUAUGGUUUGGUUGUUGGGCUCACAAUAUACUAUAGAUGUGUUAUAGAAGGUUUUCCACCAUAUAUCUUUAACUUGAGAUUUAAAUGUAAAGGCAUUUAAAAUUGGCAGGUUAAUGACUCUGGUAAUUAGGUCAGUGUUUAAUUGACUUGUUAAAGCUAUGGGCCAGUGAUGGGCUCUGCCCAAGAUAAUUACUGUUGUUGUUGUUUGAAUGCAUUGUUUUGUAAAUGCAUUCAUAUCAUAUUAAAGUUGUAUUAUAAGUUUAACAUAGUCAAAUAAAAAGACUCCUACAAACAGCUGUAGGAAAGGAACACAACUCUCAUUGCGUACAUAACAAUUAACACAUGACCCUACGCUGUGUUCACUGUACCAUUCCAUGUUUGGCACUGAUCACCACC